rnacentral:tRNA from 1 species
AGCGGGGUGGGGCAGCCAGGAGUGCCCGUCGGGCCCAUAACCCGGAGGUCGAUGGACGUGAUUCCAAAUGGAAUCUUGGUCGAAUUCAAAAGAGCACAUUUUUAUGUGUGUUCGGGAAGUCCAUCCCCCGCUA